rnacentral:rRNA from 1 species
AUUGAACGCUGGCGGCAGGCCUAACACAUGCAAGUCGAGCGGAUGAAGGGAGCUUGCUCCUGGAUUCAGCGGCGGACGGGUGAGUAAUGCCUAGGAAUCUGCCUGGUAGUGGGGGAUAACGUCCGGAAACGGGCGCUAAUACCGCAUACGUCCUGAGGGAGAAAGUGGGGGAUCUUCGGACCUCACGCUAUCAGAUGAGCCUAGGUCGGAUUAGCUAGUUGGUGGGGUAAAGGCCUACCAAGGCGACGAUCCGUAACUGGUCUGAGAGGAUGAUCAGUCACAGUGGAACUGAGACACGGUCCAGAGUCCUACGGGAGGCAGCAGUGGGGAAUAUUGGCAAAUGGGCGGAAGACUGAUCCAGGCAUGGCGCGUGUGUGAAGAAGGUCUUCGGAUUGGAAAGCACUUUAAGUUGGGAGGAAGGGCAGUAAGAUAAUACCUUGCUGUUUUGACGUUACCAACAGAAUAAGCACCGGCUAACUUCGUG